CUGAUAUUAAAAAAAAUACAUCGAGUCAUAACGUUUCAACAAAGUCCUUACUUAAAACAAUAUAUCGAUCUAAAUACGAGUUUAAGACAACAGGCUCAAUCUACAUUUGAACAAGACUUUUUUAAGUUGCUCAAUAACAGCAUUUUUGGUAAAACCUUAGAAAACAGCGAAAAAAGAGUUAAUGUACAUUUAGUUAACGAAUGGAGUGACCACAAUAAUGUAACAAAAAAGAAAAUAACUGCCAAUAAAUUAAUUGCAAGCUCUAGUUUUCACAGUGUUUCAAUUUUCACUGAAAAUUUAGUCGCAAUACAAACAAAACCUGAACGGGUGAUUUUGGAUAAGCCAAUAUACAUAGGGUUUACGGUGUUAGAGUUAUCUAAAAGCCACAUGUAUGACUUUCAUUAUUCAGUUUUUGAACCAUCGUAUAAAAACAAAUUACAAAUGUGUUACACGGAUACGGAUAGUUUCGUUUACCAAAUUGAAACCGAAAACUUUUACAAAGAUUUAAAAGAAACCUUCUUACAUUAUUUCGACACAAGCAAUUUUUUCAAAGAAAAUGUAUAUGGCUUACCGCUUCUAAAUAAAAAGAUUCCUGGACUUUUCAAAGACGAAAUGGGAGGAAACAUUAUAACAGAGUUUGUUGGAUUACGUUCAAAGUUGUAUUGUGUAAAGACCAUUAAUACUACAAUUAAAAAAGCAAAGGGAGUAAAGAAGAGUGUUGUUCGCGAUAUACAAAUAUCAGACUAUAAAAAAACUUUGUAUCACGGCAAUAUAGUGCGGAAAACAAAUAUUUUAUUUAAGUCAAUCAAACACAACAUUUUUACUCGCAGUCUCAACAAAGUAGCGCUAUCCAGUAAUGAUGAUAAACGUUUUGUUUCGGCUGACAAGGUGUCAACAAGAGCUUGGGGGCAUACAUCCAUUCUAAACAUUUAACUAAGCAUAACAUUGAACCAAGAAUUAGGUAAUUAAAAUUAAAUUAUAAUACUUUCCUUAGUUGUACGAUUUUCUUUAUUAUAAUAGAUAACCUAAGCUAAUUAAGAUAAUAUUAAGUUUCAAAUAAAUGUAAUUAAUUAAUAAGGUACCUACCUAUAAAUAAAUGAUGACAAAUUAUUUACUUGGGUUUUAUUUCUUAUACGUAAAGACAUUGGUUCACAUUAACUCAAUAAGAUCAUGUUUAGACAUGUUUUAAAGUGUGAUAUUAAUCAUCGCAUAGAAACGGUGAGAUCGUAAUAUGACAUCGAUCACACGUUAGGAAUCAAUUUACUACAUUUAUUUUGCAACGCUGAGGAAACUUUUACAGGUUUGGACAUGAAGUUAAUUAAUAGCACGUGGCAUAGCCGGUGCGUCUCAUGUUACCUAUUUGAUAUAAGCAACCAAUAGAUUUUAUUUAGUUAUCAAUUCGACUUUGUUGCGUUCAAACUUGUUUGGGUUAAAAGUUAAAAUGGCUCAACGUAGUCACAGUCAUCUUACCUCACCACAAGCCAGCUACGUUCUUUCAAUCGAUAGUAGAGUCCCCAAGCACGUAAUUAAAAUUGAAAUUAUGGAAGCAGUGGAAGUGUCAAACGAUGAAGUGGACAUUCAAAGUCGUGCAAAAACUCAAUACAUUGUGUACGAAAAUUGUGAUGAUGUAUAUUUUAGCGCGCUGCAACUGAUGUCACACAUCAGUUCCAAACUGCGAGACCGCAACGAAAGACCUACCUUGUGAGUGGGAAAUAAUUAAUUAUCAAUCAGAAAAUGACUGACGUAUAUGAUGAUUUUCCUCAAUACGCUCAAGACCCGUUACAACAGUUCACUCAGCAAUACAAAGAUUUAUUUGGGGUGGAAUCGACGCAAAUUGAUCAAAAACGUAAAAAACGAGUUUCUCCAAAAAAUAAUAAGCGGAUAACUCCAAAAUCUUUUGUGGUGUGUAACGAACAGAAAGGCUUCAAAAUGAUCCAGAUAAAGGUGGUGGACCUGGUCUGCGAGCGUGACCGAGCAAAUUCGAACUCAUCAUCAUCUACGUCAGAUGCUGACAGCGAGUGCGUGUUACUUAGUGCCCAAUACGUAGUCCAUGACGCAGUGGACGAAAUAAUGGAUAUGACAGAAUGUGUAAUUAAAAAGAUAUCAAAAAAGUUAACUGGUUCUAACUUUUAAUUGAUUAUGUUUUUUAAUAUAGUUGUAAAUGUAAUGAAAUAAAUUAUUAUGCAAAAA